rnacentral:rRNA from 1 species
GCAGUGAGGAAUAAUUGGUCAAAUGGGCGUAGGCCUGAACCAGCCAAGUAGCGUGCAGGAAGAGUGCCGUAUAGGUAGUAAACUGCUUUUAUGCGGGAAUUAAGUCAGGUACGUGUACCUGUUUGCAUGUACCGCAUGAAUAAGGACCGGCUAAUUCCGUGCCAGCAGCCGCGGUAAUACGGAAGGUCCGGGCGUUAUCCGGAUUUAUUGGGUUUAAAGGGAGCGCAGGCGGAGGAUUAAGCGUGACGUGAAAUGUCCCGGCUCAACCGUGGAACUGCGUCGCGAACUGGUUUUCUUGAGUGAGUGCGACGUCGGCGGAAUUCGUGGUGUAGCGGUGAAAUGCUUAGAUAUCACGAAGAACCCCGAUUGCGAAGGCAGCCGACGAGUCCUUAACUGACGCUAAAGCUCGAAAGUGCGGGUAUCGAACAGGAUUAGAUACCCUGGUAGUCCGCACGGUAAACGAUGGAUGCCCGCUGUCUGCGAUACACUGUAGGCGGCCAAGAGAAAUCGUUAAGCAUCCCACCUGGGGAGUACGCCGGCAACGGUGAAACUCAAAGGAAUUGACGGGGGCCCGCACAAGCGGAGGAACAUGUGGUUUAAUUCGAUGAUACGCGAGGAACCUUACCCGGGCUUGAACUGCAGGCGUACGAUACAGAGAUGUUGAGGCCCUUCGGGGUGCCUGUGGAGGUGCUGCAUGGUUGUCGUCAGCUCGUGCCGUGAGGUGUCGGCUUAAGUGCCAUAACGAGCGCAACCCCUUUCUCCAGUUGCCAUCAGGUGAUGCUGGGCACUCUGGAGACACUGCCACCGUAAGGUGUGAGGAAGGUGGGGAUGACGUCAAAUCAGCACGGCCCUUACGUCCGGGGCUACACACGUGUUACAAUGGGUGGUACAGAGAGUCGGUGCAUCGCAAGUUGCAUCUAAUCAUGAAAGCCAUCCUCAGUUCGGAUUGGGGUCUGCAACCCGACCCCAUGAAGCCGGAUUCGCUAGUAAUCGCGCAUCAGCCAUGGCGCGGUGAAUACGUUCCCGGGCCUUGUACUCACCGCCCGUCAAG